UUAAGCGCUACCCUCAUCUGCUUCCUGCAUUUAGAGGUCUGGCUGAUGAUGGAAGAAAUUCCUACAGAGAAUUAUAGAUGCUUGUAUUAUUUUUUUCCAGCUUCUUUUGUCUGGCCCCUCCCACUCUCCCACUGGCUUCUCAGGGCUUUAACGGAAAAUCACCAUCAUGGCUUUUUGCUAGCCUGUUUUUCUGCUGAGACUCUUGACAAACGUUGGAAGCACCGUGCAGAAGUUGGAUGAUCCCAGAACAGCAGUUUUAUCCUGAAGCUCUCAGAGAGAAGCUUUACGUGUGACCAACUUUUUGCUUGUGAUGACGUCGCUCGUACAAGGCGCGUGCCAGACGUCGGCUUCGACCGUAUUUGUAUUUGAAUCCGGUUAAAAACCUUAAAGAGGACUUGGACUGCUGGUUGCAUUGCAGCCUCAGAGAUCUGGACUUUUUCCAACACGUCUGGAAUCCAACAGGAUCUUCUCUUCUUCUUUCCUCUUCCAGGUGACGUGGCUGACUCAGACUUUCUGCUGCUUUUGGCGUUCACCCUCGUCUAAAAGGGGACGGGAGAAAAAAAAUCAUAAUGACAAGCCCUCGCGGCCGGAGAGAGCAGAGAGCUGGCAGCUUUGACUCGUAUUUCGCUGCCUCUGCCCGUCUACGAUGGAGACAGGUCUGUGUUUAGGGCGGGGCAUCUCCCCUUUAGAAUAACAUGGAAUUAACCUCAAAGUCGGCAAUUCAAAGUCUCCAUUUUGUCAUCUUCAUCCCGUCUUACUCCGUAAACUGUCUGCUUCCUUUAUGAUCUUUAUGUCUUUUUAAUCUUUUUGUCUCCUUUCUUCAUCUUCAUCCUGAUUUCUCCUUAUGAAUUGUUUCGUUAAAGACCCGUUUUGAUGCCUAAAAGUCACAAGUGUCAUGUUUAGGUCAUGAAAAAACAAGUCUUUCAUUUUCUGGAUUCUCAGACCUGUUCUCAUUUCGUUUUUACUUCCCGGCCAGAUGUGUUUCUUCUCUGGAUCGCCCCUUGUGCCGGCCCCCGUGAUUCAUUUUCCACAGACACUUAAAAGGUCCAAACGUCUCCCUUCCCCCCCCUCCUUUCUAUUUUUCCCUCUCUCUUUCCACCCGGUUUCUUGUGCUCAGGCUCCUACUGCUGGAUUGUCUCAGCCUGCACUUUAGUCAGAAAAAGUGGAAGAAAACACUUAGAAGGCAUGAAGCCGGCAUCGGACCCUGCGUCGCUAAAGAGCUGAUGGAUCAUUACUGUCUGUCUCUGCUCAUCUGGGGGUCAAAGGGCAUGAGGUGGGAACAACCUUCUCAGGUGGAUCUUGGGUACUGGUGGAAGAGAUGACAACCCACCUUCAGGCAGAGGAAAAAGACAGGUGGCUUCUCUUGUGGACUCCAUUACUUUCACUGAAGGGAGGGGAGAUGAGGAGGAGACAAAGAAACCUGCAUUUACCGCCACUCCUCCUCAUCCUCCUCAUCCUCCUCCCUCGUUGAACCUUUUGCUUUGCUGCCGCCAUAUUCUCACCCUUCCCCGUGCCUCGUCUUCCAGUGCUAACAUUCACUACCAGCUUUUUCUGAGUCAUUUUCUCAUUUUCUCACUGGAUUCUGAUUGGCUUACCACUUUGCAUCGUCAUUUGGGUGGUAAAGCACUAAAGUUUGCCAUUGUCAUUAAAAGCAGUUAAUAUCAUUGUU